AUAUAUCCUAAACAAGAAGGUCAAAGCUAAGCAGCAUUCUUCCCAGCUUGAUUGAAUCUAUAUGAAGUAAAAUUAGCGGGUCAUUUGGCUUCAAAAAGAUUCAAAUUUUGAAUCCCAUCAAUUUCUUCAAACAAGCAAACGUUUAGGAAGGUCGUCGCCGAUGAAUUUUCCACCCACUGGAUCAAAUUUACACCUGUGUUCAGGUAUGCUUUUUCUUGGUUUUCUUUGAAUUCCUAUAAUUAAAAACCAACGCAAAGAACGAUGACUAAUCUAUAAAAUGCGUAGUAUUUUAGUUGAAAAUGUUUGUGUAAACCUGGUGUGCAUCUUCCUAAUGCAUGGAUAGGCCUUCAAACAUGAGGCUUUACACAAAAGGCCAAACUAUGUGAAUUCCUUUGUUUCUUCCAAAACUAUCUUUGGUGCUACAAGCUCAUAUUAUGAUGUUUUGCACCUGACCUGGACUACAAAGAAGCGCCAACUACAAAUUGAAAUGAUCGAUCAACUUUGUAACAAGUGGCACUGUGGAUCCAAUUGGUUGCACAGAGAGCAAUGCCCGUUGACUGGUGAUUGAAGUAUUUGGAUUUGGAUGGCCGGAAGAGUUUAACGUAGCCAUGAUGGCUAAAUGGUGGUGGCGGUUUCGGGACUGCCCCACCCACCCACCUUUGGUUAGAUGUCAUCUUAGCUAUACAUGGGCCGGAUAACGAAGAUAAAAUCAUCCCGGUUAAGCGUGCUAUUGCUGGAUGGUGGAAAGAUGAAAAAGUUUGGUAUCAAGAUUAAAAAAAAAACUGAAAGUCGAAGUUGGGACGAAAAAUCAAGAAGGUUUUGGCUUGACGAUUGGCUUGGGCAGGGUACUCUUAAACAUCGAUUCCCGUUGAUCUUCAGACUUGCGGCUAACAAAAGGACAUGCGUUAGUAACUGUUUUCAACAAAUUUAUAACCAGAUUCAUUGGAGUUGGGGCUGGUCAAAAGAUCCUAAUUGAGUUGAAGAGUGGGCUCAAGUGGGCAACUAAAUGAGUUGGUUGCAAUAGGUUAAUCUCAAGGGUGGGAAUGGUAGGUGGCGGUGGGAUAAUUUGGAGGGGAAGACUUCUCGACCAAGGCUUUAUGACAUGAAAUGACGCUGAAAGCUGAAGUGUAAAUUGAUAUGGGUUCGUUUUGGUACAACUCUUGGGCUCCACUGAAGGCGAACUAUCUGGUAGUUGUGCAGAUUUAAACAAAGUUGUGGCAAAGGUUCAGCUAGCAAAUAGAGGUAUGCUCUUCUAUGAUGUUUUGUGUAGUAUGUGCGUCUUCCGAGAGGAAAUAUGUGACCAUGUCUUCAUGUCAUGUAUUUGGACCGGAAGUGUUUGGUAGCAUGUCUCUAUAUGGUUGAUAAUUGCCAUUAUGAUGGACUUUGAGUCAGUGGGUCAGAUCAUAAAGCAUGUUAAUGAGCAGGUUGGCUCCAAAAGACGAAAGAAGGCAGCUCAUUGUUGUUUUUUGGCGACUUCUGAAGGUUGUGGUUGACGAGAAACGACAAACAAUUUAACGACAAAAUGAUCCCGGUUCAGAAAAUAGGAGAGCAUAUAGAGGAAGACACUUUCUUUUGGGCGAAACACCAAGCCAAAGCCACGUACCUCGACUGGGAUAACGACUUGAUUUGAAUAUUUCAGUUAUGUUGUAAUUUAUUUCGAACCUUUUGUAUCGGUUUUCAACCGUUUGUUUUUAUGUUUCAGUUUUAUAUGAUUUCUAAAAAAAAACUCGGUUCACUUAAGUGUUUGUGAGUCUGUAGGA